UCUCUACUAACUAACAUGACCGAUAUUGCGAGAUUUUUGAGCCUCAUCCCCCACGUCCCUUUAACCUUUUGAACACUGGUACAAAAGCACGAACCAUUCUUUCUAGUCAGUUCAUAUCUCUUUCUUGGUUCAUUCAUUCGCCUUGUCAUCUCAAACAACCUUCUGGCCACUGCUGUGAAGAAUCGGCGAGACACUUUUCUGAUCCGGAACCCUCCUCGAUUUCUUAUGGUAACCAGGGUUGAAUCGGGGUUGUGUGAAGAGAGCGACUAG
rnacentral:lncRNA from 1 species